UGAUCUUCUCACAGUUGUGUUUAUUCUUCUUUAGGGAUUUGGCAUUUAUUCAAUGAAUGUGUGUUUAGAAAGACUACUAAAAAGCACGCUGGGGAUCUUAGCUUGUAGCUGAGCCUGCCCUUGAACUUGCAAUGCUCCUGCGUCAACCUGCUGGAUGGUGGGCUAUUAGGUGAGUCCUACAACUCCUGACUCUAAGUACAGUUUAUGAGUCAUAGUAUAGUUUAUGAGUCAUGGGAAGUUUACAUUAAGAUGCCUGUCACAUCUUUUGGUGCUUAGCUUGGGCCAUGCCCCUGUCUGAGAGCUGGAGCUGGCUGUGGGAAGGGGGAUGGUUAUAACUCAGGACCCACUGAUGUGUGAUUAUCUUGCAAUGCACCCCAGAGACCAUCGCUAGGGUGGCUUUCUCAUCUGUAAAUGAGAUCACUGGUCUCUGACUUUUAGGUCACAUGUCCAAUUUCCCAUGGCCGUAUAACCAAACUGGAUUUAAAAGGCUCUUGUCCCAGUGGUCUCUGGCUUGUGUUGCAGUUCCUUCUGAAUGGAGUUAGUGUUUGCAUUUCAAAAUCUGGAAUUUACAUAAAUAUUUAGCUACCUAUGCUAUCUAGAGAAGUCUUGAAAGCACAUGCUUGGUGUUCCUUUCAGUAGGUUAGUAGCACAGGACACUGGAAGGCCACUUUCUGGAGGGCACACACAUCUGUUUUCAUCUCUGCAUGUGAACCACUUCACCCUGUUGGCCUUUGAGUCUGCAACAUCUAUGACUGGCCUCAGAGAAUUCAAAAUCACUUAAGGACACAAAGCAAAAGUGUUUAUGGGCAGCAAUAAGGAUCUCUGCACAGUGACUUUAGAAUGUCGCAGCUCUCCCCCCUCAUCUUAGAUCCCUGGGGAAUGAGGGCAGAGCAAGGGAGCCUAAACCGCAGCGUAAUCAGGGAGCACAGAUGGGUAGUAUGGCUUAUCAGCCUCAGCACGUGUGGGCAGUGAGGGAAAAGGAGCAGCGGAGGCAGUGGCCUUGGCUCGGUGGGCUUUCUGGGGACCUGCUUUAUUUACUUGUUUAUUUUGGUAUCCCUGAGAAUGGAACCCAGAGUCUCAUGUGUCACUCAAGCUUGACAAACGCUCUACCCAGCCAGCAAGGGGGCAAUGCUAGAUAGCAGGGGGUGAUGCUCCCUCCAGAGAGGCCUUUUCUCUGGCGUCCCACCCCUGAACACUCAUUUACACCAUCACUAACAUAUCAACUAUGCCUCUGAUAGAAAACUCUGAAACAAAACUCAUAUUUCAUGUGAAUAUGCGCUGCUGAAACUCAGCUGAGGUUUGAAGAGGAUGUGUUCUGCUGUGACAUCAUUUCCGGUCCGUGCCUUCUGAAAACAAACAGUCUGGAUUUGUUAGGGGUUGAAUGUCAAAUGUUCCUUACAGACUCCUGCGUUUGAUGACUUGUUUCCCAGAGUGUGGCACUAUUUGGGAAAGUUAUGGACUCUUCUAAAGGUAGAGUCUCAGUGGAUUGAGUGGGGCCUUGGGAUAGCCCCAUGUUUCUACAGUCCAGUUCAGCUUCCUGAUCGCGUUCUGGUUCCUGGUUGCAAAUACAAAGUCAUUAACUACUGCACACUCUCUUGACCUGAGAGCCAAAAGUAAGUGUUUCCUCCCUUAAUUUGAUCUUUGUUGGUAUUUGAUGACAGCAAUGAGACAAGCCAGUACACUCACCUACUCAUCUCUAUUAAAUGACCACUUCCUGGGUGGCAGUGGAUUCCCUGGUAGAUGCUAGCAUCAUAAUUCAGGGUGAACGAUGAACAUUUUAUUCAGAGGCAAAAAGUAAGUCACGUGAGACUUAAAGGGAACCCCAGAGGAGGUUACUUGCAUAACCACGAUUGCCGAGAAGUCUUCAAUAUAUUGAAAAUUUGGAUUUGUUUUGAGGUGCCAUUACCCACAACUGUGCAGAUAAUUUGUGUCUGUCUGUGUGUGCGCACAUGUGCACAUGUGCAUUCAGUGGUUCUCUUCUCCAGAGUAUUUUUAGUGAGCUGAUAGUUUUCUAGUGUAACUCUCAUAAUGUGGCAUUAAAUGAAUAGAGAGUUUGCUCACUAAAGUACAGCUGCAGAUAUUUGCUCUUGAUCAGUUUUACCUGCAGGAGAACGUCAUUCUAGCAGAGACAUCCAGAAACGUGUGUGGAAUCUUUUCUUUUAGUGCUUAUUUGCUUUACCAGUUUUUGUCCACCUCAACUCACCAAGCUCUGUCCAGCACCUUUUUCUCAUUGAGCCAAAAGCAGAGAGGUUCCUGUUUAGAUUUUUAUGAAUCCUUAUUUCAUGAGCAUAUGUGCGUGUGUGUUCCCAUGUACACAAGCAUGUGUGUGUAUGUGUGUGUGUGUGAAAACAAGAGGUUGACUUCUGCCGUUUUUUUCUUCCCCUUUCUUAUUCACUGGAGAUAGCGUCUUUGGCCAAACCUGGAUCUUAUCAGUUUGCCUAGAAAGGCUGUCCAUCAAAUCCCGCAACUCCUCCCAUUUCCCUCCACCCUCUAGUUCCUUGGAAUUCUGUAAGUUAUCAUGGGCAUUUAGAUGAAAGGGCAUGCAUAAAGCAUAGACUAUAAAAUGCUUUUCCUGGUUUCAUUUAUAAUCUAACAAUAAAAAUGAAGAACUGAUUUCUAAGUGGGUAUUAGCUUAAAAGCAUGGAUUCUCUGUCUUUUUCUGCUUUUCUCCUUUCUUCCUUUCUUUCUGUUACUUUUUUCUCCACGUGCUCAGCUAGAGUGUUUGGCUGACAGCUACUUCUUGCAUGUCAUUUGUGGAUGCUUUCAGAUAAAAAAAAAGUGCAGAGUUGCAUUUAUUUUGUUGGCUUCAGACAAAGGACGAAAGCUGUUUCUGUGCUUAUUCUAAGCCAGCUCUGUAAAGAAUGAUAGUGCUACUCAAACUUCAACAAGUUGAGGUUCUCAAACAUUCUGUAUUAUGUUCCUCCAUCUGGUUUUUCUUUGCAUUAAGGAAGAUCAUUUCCAAUGUUUUAUAAUUCUCACAGUGUGGACAUCCAAAAUGUCAGUAACGCUGCAGGGCCCUACUGGGUCUCCAAAGGGAAGACAGCACAGAGAGUAAAGAACAACCCUGAAAAUGCGCGUGCAUACACACACACACACACACACACACACGCAUGCUCCCCCCCACGUGUGUCUCUCUCUGUGUGUGGUGUGUGCGUGUGUAGGAUCCAAUUCUCACCUUCUACUGUGCAGGUUCUCUGGGUGGAACUCAGGUUAUCAGGCUCCGAGCCAAGCGCCUAUGGAAUUGUCUUGACAGCCCUGCAACUGGUUUUUAAAGUUUUGCAUUUGUGAGUUCCACUGAGAAGCAAGUGAAAGCUGUAGAUCCAAGUUUCCAGAGAAACGCACAAACGGUAAACAGAUCUGAACAUUUCACAAGGCUCAUCAGAACCUCUCAGUUCAUGGGUAUGAAUUAGAAAACCCAAAAUAGUAUGUUUAAUAGAUAAAUUUACAAGCAUAUGAAUGUGUACAUAUAUAUGUAUAUAUAAUAAGAUGCAUAUUUAAUCAUUUAAAUUUUUCCUUUUUACAUGGGCAAAGAAGAUCUAGCAUGUGAUUAUUUUUUUGAUUCGGUUUAUCUGGACAAUUCUGAACUUUUUUGUUAUCUAAAAAUUUUAAGUUUUCCCUGGAAGCCACGAAGAAACAAGGAAUUGUCAGAAAAAAAAAUCAACAGAAGGAAAUUGCUUUAAAAGACUUAUGUGUAGAGGACAGGGGUUGAAGUGAAUGAAGUAAAUGAGUCUUCCUUUUCUUCCAUCUGUUUAUUUUUUCACUCUUUGAAAACAAUGUUUUCUAUAUAUCUAUGUAAAAUCUAGGCACCACAGACAAGACCCCCAACAUAGCAGUAAAUAUUUUUCAGUUGUACUACCAACUUUAGGUCACAUUCAAAUAAAAGAACGCGAAGAUGGAACUACUUAUCCAAAUCA